CGCUAAAGAGCCAUUUUCACCAUAUUGUGUAUAACACACACUUAUAGAAAGUGUUAUGAUAGUGUUAUAAAUAGAUAGAAUAAUACUUAGUUAGAUAUAUUUUUUAUAUAAUAAUUUAAUUAUAAUUUAAUUAUAUAUUAAAUAACUUAGAUAUUAAUGAAUAACUAAUAAAAUAUAUAUUUUGCUUAUAAAUUAUAAAUUAUAAAUAUAUAACUAUGAAUUAACAUAAAUAGUGCUACUACUAAAUUUAGUAAAUUACAAUAAUAUAAUAAUUUUUUAAUCCUUGAUUUUUUUUUAAAUUACAAAGUAGUUAUAUAGUAUUAUAUUCUAAUUUUUUAAAAGUUUAGUAUUCUUAUUAAGAAAUUUUAAAUAAUUUAUAUCUAACAAUUAAUUAAUUAUGUUAUAAUAAAUAUUAUGUUAUACUAAAUAAUUUAAUAUAUUGAAUAUUACUUAAAAAAUUUAAUAACUUCUUAUUAAGAAAAUAUUUUUUAUAAAUAUAUUUAAUAAAUAAUGUAUUAAUUUACAAAUAAACAUAUUAGAAAUUUUAAUAUCUUGAGUUAAUAAUUAUUAUAUAUAAUAUUAAAUUAAUAUACCUAUAUUAAUUUAAAUACCUAAAAAUUAUAGAAGAAUUUUAAGUAAUAACUACUAUAUAAUAGUAUUAGAUAUUUAUAUAAUAGAGUAUAUGUUAUUUUACCAAAAUAACAUACUAUAAUAACUAUUAAUAUUUUUUCAAAAAAGAUAUAUUAUAAUACCAUUACAAUAUUUUUUCUUCAACUAAUUUAAAAAUAAAUAAUAAAUAAAUAUACACUACUUGAAAUAUUAGUAUUAAAUAUUAAUAUAGUAAAAUCAU